rnacentral:tRNA from 1 species
CCUGGUGGCUCAGCCGGUAAAGCAUCUGCCUGCAAUGCAGGAGACCCGGGUUCAAUUCCUGGGUCAGGA